CGGUGAAUACGUUCCCGGACCUUGUACACACCGCCCGUCAAGCCAUGGAAGCUGGGUGUACCUAAAGUCGAUAACCGCAAGGAGCCGCCUAGGGUAAAACUAGUAACUGGGGCU
rnacentral:rRNA from 1 species